rnacentral:lncRNA from 1 species
ACAUUGGGGCUGAAUUUGGGGACAUCGGAGGGGAUUUGGGGACAUUUGGGGAUGUUUGGGGUCAAUGGGGCUGAAUUUGGGGACAUUUGGGGACAUUUGGGGACAUUUGGGACUUUGGGGCCAGUGGCGCCGUUUCCCUCCAGCCCCGCCAGGGGGCGCCAGCACCGCGGGUCUCACAAGCCCCGCCCCCUCCCCUCCCAGCCAAUCAGAGUGCAGGAGGCGUGGCCUGGCCUCUAUUACCGUGGCUGAGAGUGGGCGUGGCCUUGAGGGGGCGUGGCCGCCGCACCCGGAAGCGGCGCCGGAGCCUCAGGAAGAGGAAGAGGAGGAGGAGGAGGAGGAGGAAGAAUCCCGGGAUGAGGCGGCUUCCCCCUGGAUGAGGCCGGAUCCCAUGGAAGCUUCUGGAAUUCCGGGGAUUUUCCUGGACUGGCCGCGCUCGGAAUUCCCACCUGGAGCAGAAAUUCCCACGGAAUUCCCGACAGGAUUGGGAGCUCUGGCCGGAACCCCCCCCCCCCUGGAGCAGAGAAUUCCCAGUGGGAUCAGAAAAUUCCCAUUUAAUUCCCAGUGGGAUCCAAAGCUCCGUCCCCAUUCCUGCUGGGAGCAGAGAAUUCCCAGGGAAUUCCCACCUGGAGCAGAAAAUUCCCACUGAAUUCCCAGCAGGAUCAAAGAUUCCUGUUCAAUUCCCAGUGAGGGCAGAGAAUUCCCAGCAAAUUCCCACCAGGAAUCCCAGAAUUCCCACCAGGAAUCCCAGAAUUCCCACCAGGAUCCCAAAAUUCCCACCAGGAAUCCCAGAAUUCCCACCUGGAAUCCCAGAAUUCCCACCAGGAACCAAAGAAUUCCUGCUGAGAUCCCAGAAUUCCCUGCAGGAAUCUGAGAAUUCCCAGAAAAUUCCCACCAGGAUCACACAGGAUUCCCAGAGAAUUCCCAUUGAAUUCUCAACUGAGGCAGAGAAUUCCCACCUGGCAUCCAAGAAUUCCCAGGAAAUUCCCACCAGGAUCACAGAAUUCCCACCUGAGGCAGAGAAUUCCCACCUGGAUCACACAGAAUUCCCAGGAAAUUCCUGCCAGGGUCACAGAAUUCCCACCUGGAGCAGAGAAUUCCCAUAAAAUUCCUACCUGGAGCAGAGAAUUGCCACAGAAUUCCCAUCCUGGAGCAGAAAAUUCCCACCUGGAUCACGGAGAAUUCCCAGGAAAUUCCCACCUGGAACCAGAGAAUUCCCACCUGAAAUCUGAGAAUUCCCAGGAAAUUCCUGCCUGGAUCCCAGGAAUCCCACCUGGAGCAGAGAAUUCCCACCUGGAACCAGAGAAUUCCCACAGAAUUCCCACCUGGAUCAGAGAAUUCCCACCUGGAUCCCCCCAAAUUCCCAGAGAAUUCCUGCCUGGAACAGGGAAUUCCCACCUGAAAUCUGAGAAUUCCCAGGAAAUUCCCACCAGGAUUGCAGAAUUCCCACCUGGAUCACACAGAAUUCCCAGGAAAUUCCUGCCUGGAUCGCAGGAUUCCCACCUGGAGCAGGAAAUUCCCACCAAAGUCCCACCUGGAACCAGAGAAUUCCCACAGAAUUCCCACCUGGAUCAGAGAAUUCCCACCUGAGCCAGAGAGUUCCCUCCUGGAUCACCCCAAAUUCCCGCCUGGAUCGCAGAAUUCCCACC